CAGGGGAUAGUUUAUUUAAAAUAUUAAUUUUGGAGAUUAACGAUAAGAGUUAUCUUUCCCUUGA
rnacentral:tRNA from 1 species